ensembl:piRNA 21ur-2839 ncRNA
UUUGAUAUGCCUAUACUGUUC